rnacentral:lncRNA from 1 species
CAUUUCUCUCAGUUACACUGAGGUGAGGCCAACUGCUCUGUGUGUGGAAGCCAGAGAAGAAAGCAGCACAGAACAGAUGCAAACCAAGGAGGCUGGAAGAUAAGAGCAGAGCCAUCAGGACACGAGCCCCUCGCGGCAUUUCAGAGCUUCCUGUGUGCAGCAUGGAUCUAAAGCUGGUGGAUGCAGGGGGGUGAACAAGACAACAUCUUCACUUCCUGCAUGCUGAUGGCAGAAGUGAGACAUCAGCGAAGAAACAUCACGAUCACCAAAUUACGAUGAACACCAUGGAGGAAACAAAGGACACUGUGACACCAAGGAAGGAAGGGAGGUUACUUUUCAUAGUGGCUGUAAAUAGAACUGAAGGCUGAAAAACAGCUGUUAAAAUGGCUUGUUUGUUUGAAGAUGAAUGAGAGUACACAAUAAAAGGAAAAAAAUUUGGACACAGACACACACAGAGGGAUGACCACGUGGAGAUGCAGGGAGAGGAUAGCAGCUACAGGCCAGGGCGAGAGGCCUCAGAGGAAACCAGUCCUGCUGACUCUUUGAACUCGGACUUCCAGCCUCCAGAACUGAACCACUGUCUUCCUUUAUCCCAGGAUGUCUGCAAGGAAGAAAAUGUCCUUUUUCUAGCAUUUAGAGGCCACCAACAUUGAAUAACCACACUGGGGUAGACACAGCGGCGAAGAGAUUCCUGCUGUUCCCAUCACAGCAGCCUUGGAGAUGAGAAGACAGAUGGAUCUGACCAGAAGUCUGGAGAACUUCGAGAAAAAAGGAGGAGGACACAAAAGGAAAUAACAAAAAAGAUGCAUCCGGAGCAACUAUGAGGAUGGUAAAUUGGUGUCUAAUUCUGAAAAUCAUAAUUGGUAUAAAUGCUAUGUACUGUGGAAGGAGGGAUGAAGGGUAGAGGGAAUAAAAAAGAACAUGAAGUUAGAAUCCUUGGCAUGAAAGCCUGCCAUUUAUACAAGCAAACAAACAAGAUCAGGGACUAUCAACUGGCUGGCUGAAUUGGACCAAUAGGCAGGUUUAUUCAGCCCCACACUUCAAAAAUUAGGAGAUCUCCAAAUUAAAAUCUGGGAAUCUGACCUUUUGUAACAAAUCAGAGGAUUUGCAACACCAAGAGCAUCAUCACAGGCAACGACCAGCUUGGAUGGGCAGCGGCUGCCCC